GGUUAGAGACAUCACUACGUGUCUACAGCCAUUACCAUUCUGAACGUGCCUGAUCUUGGAAGCUUAAGCAGGGUUGGGCCUGGUUAGUACUUGGAUGGGAGACCACCUGGGAAUAGUGGGUGCUGUAUACUU